rnacentral:lncRNA from 1 species
GAGUAAGACGAGGAUCAAAGGCAAAGACAGACCAGACUGCUUUUUGGGCACCCCAACACCUAGACGAGCACUGAGGGAGGUAAUUUAUUAUUUUAUAAGUGCCUGUGCUCACCAGAAAUGUGAUUUUCC